rnacentral:snRNA from 10 species
AGCUUUGCGCAGUGGCAGUAUCGUAGCCAAUGAGGUUUAUCCGAGGCGUGAUUAUUGCUAAUUGAAAAACUAAAAUAUUCAAAUUAAU